rnacentral:lncRNA from 1 species
GUACCACUUCUUAUUGAUCAAAUCAAUUCUUCUUCCUAGUUUUCUUUAUUUUUUAUUUUUUUGUAUUUGCUCAAGGCAGUCUUCCUAAAGUCCAAACAAGUGUUCAUUGUGGGCAUGAAGUGAAACCCCAACCUCUCCACCACAUAGACAUCUCACCAAGGAUGUGA